GGUAUAAUAAUGUACAUGAAGUGGGAGAAUAGAUGCUUUAAAUGCAUUUUAUUGUUUUUCACAUUCUCUUUUCUGCCUGGGAUGUUUUAUUACUUUUAUUUUCUGGCAAACUUCUAUUUCUCCAAAAUAAAGCCAUGUAUAGGAUGGCCACAAGGGAACCCACCGUCUUGAAGGAAAGGACCCAGUCCUGAGAGCAUUCAUCACCUGCUAUCUAAAGAGCCAUUGGGCCCUGAAUAUCAGCAUUGAUACCCAGGUGCUAUAUCAAGGGCCUGGGGUGAGCCUCUGAGACUUGCUGGCUUCAGGUAACAGCAAGACCACAGUGGGGCAGAGAAUCCAGCAGGGUCUUCGGGUGCUCAACUCUAGGACUUGAUUUUUGGAUGGCAUUUCUGUACCUGCCCUGGGACAGAGGGGAGCCCACUGCCCUAAAAGGUGAAAAGAAGAUGGAGAAUGUCACUUGCACAUCCAGGAGAUCUGUGUUAAAGUAGAGGACCCCCGAAAUUAUGAAAAUGGGAUAUUAUAUAGGAGCUGUCACGUUCGUUCCUCCUCUUCUCCAGAAAGAGAGAGAGAGCACAAGAGUACGCCUUUUUGGCAGGUGCAGGAAAAGAUCUCUACUCUCAAGUAUAAGCAUUAGGCUCUAGGGGAGACAAGAAAGAUUUUGUUACCCUGUUACCCUUUGAGUGGGAGCAGAUGGCUUCGCAAUGAAGCAGAUAAGUGGUUAGGAGCAAAUGGAGUAAAGUGGUGUAAAGAGCA